GGUCGAUUAGCUUAGUUGGUAGAGCGUGGUACUAAUACCUGUUAUACAUGCCAAGGUCAUGGGUUCGAUCCCCAUAUUGACCA
rfam:Melampsora larici-populina 98AG31 unplaced genomic scaffold MELLAscaffold_29, whole genome shotgun sequence.